UUUUUUUUUUUUUUUUUCUGUUAAGAGAUAGAAACACACGCACCCAAUUAGAUUAGAAACACUCAGGAGAUUAGCGGUUAAACAACACAGUAAAAAAUAAUUUAAGGGAAACCCACGAGAAAUCCACUUCCAGCCAAUUGGUGAAUAUAAUGUUCUACUUCACCGUGAUUUCAGUCAUAUCAUCCCCCAUCUUGGGCUAUAUAUCCCGAACACUACUAGCUAUUGACUUCACUUGAUAGUCAAAACUUGAUGAAAUUCAAGAAGUGUCAUGUGCAAUUAUCUUCAAAUUUUCCUUUUUUUUGUCUUUUCCCGUACCAUGUGAUACUACUCAAUAAUUAAUUAAAAAUUAAGAACACAUACAAGUUUCUUUAGUUGAUUCACCAAAAUAGAAUAAUUCCUUUUUCAUACCUCCUUUGAAUUGCUUUUUAUGCCUAAUAUUCAUCCAUUAUUAAGAACGCUCCAAUCACAAUCUCACAAAGCCAAGAUUAUACGUUGGAUAUCUCUACAUUGAUCAAAUAUCCAGGGAAUAUUUUACAAGAAAACCAAAAGAUUUCCGAAUAAUGAAAUAAUAAAUUGAAAUAAAAUCAUUGUCUAGACAAGUCAAUAUUGUUUUUCUUUCUUUUUUUUUUUUUAAGGCAACUCAAUAUUGUUAAUCUGCAUAUUUAGUUUAACUACAGUAAUGGGAUCAUAGGUACCAUGAAAGAACCGACCGGGUUGGGCGAUGUGGGUUCCAACAACUCCGGAUCAAAUUAAAGUUCUUUAAGAUUCGUCUUUUAGUGCCCAGUGCUCCUGUAACAAAGAUGAUGAAAUUCAGGACAGAUUCCGGAUCCUGAGGACACCUCACGUGCCUUUAUCAUAGACGAGCCCACACGAGAAAUUUCCUCCUCCCGCUGUCUUCUAGCACAUCCAUCCUUGUUUUCGCACUUUCAUCCCAUAUAUGGUUGGCCACUUGUAUUCUUUUUCCUUCCUCUUCUUAGUUUUCUUCUUCUUCUCUCCCCCUCCCUCUCUCUCUCUCUCUCUCUCUCUCUAUAUGUGUAUCAAGAAAGACCUUUCUUCUUAGCCGGACAUCUUUCCAUUGUUUUUACAGUUGCAGAUUUUAUGUGGGGUCUUUCUAUCUCUGCUCAAAGAAAUAGAGAGGUAAGUGUCGGUUUUGGGGUCAAUUUUAUGGUUGUCUACUACUAUUUGAUUAUUAUGUUUUAUUGCAUUUCUACUAAACUGCUGAGAUGAGAUUAGUCAUGUUCAAUUUUUGAUCAGCUGAAAGUCCUUUUUGGAUUGUCUAUUUGUCUUAAUGGGGUGGAAAGCUUGAAUCUUGAUUGCAGAGCAACAGAGGAAGAAGGCUGAAAAUCCUUAGCCUGUUAAUUGGGGUUUAUAAGUUUCUGUUAGUAUUUUAGGCAACAUUGAGCAUGAUUUUUUCUGAUAUUCGUGUCCUUAUUUGUCCCCAGUGUAAUACUGGGUGUAUAGAUUUGACUCGUGAUGAACAGGAAGGAUAUCUACGUGACAUGCAUAUGGGCUUGAGAACAACUUUAGUUAAUUUCAUAGUAAUUCUCCGAGAAAUGAAUUAUCUUGUUGAUUUUGUAGCAAUUAGAAAAUAAUAAUAUUUUCCUAAGAAUAUUAUUUGGCCACUAAAUCAUAAUCAUGAACGCUAACUAUGUUAGAGUUGCGUUGAAGUAGCCAAUUCCAUUAGUUCUUCUCUGAAUAUGUUGUCUACAGUAUGUAAUUACUCUCACAACCUUAAAUAUUAGACAAAAAUGGUCUUCAUGAUAAGCAUUUUUCAAAAGGAUGAUUGGUGAAAUUAUUGCCAUUGAGUGUACUGAUGCUUUUUGAGUGUUUCCUGUCGCUGGAAAUGGUGGAUGUCGAUUGCUCUUGACACUACAUUUUUGCAAUCUUUUUUUUUUAAUUUUUUCUAGCAGGGGACGGGUGGGAUUUAAGAAGUGGGGAGGGGAAGGGGAAUUUGCAAUCAUUUGUUGUUCACUAUGUUAAUUCUUUUCAAUCAUACUGCAGUCUUAUCUCAUUGUAGAUAAACACAUACCUUAUCCUUCUUGUUCCACAGGCCUAAGGGUUAUCUGGUCUGGUGAUCGUACUUCUUGCUCUAUCUCAGCUUACUCUUGAAGUGGCACCAAGCUCAUUAAGUUGCUCAGCAACAUAUUUUUGGCAUUACCAGUUGAUCUUUGAAAGGGAGAAACCAGGGAAUGCAGAAAGAUGUGCUUGAGCAUCUCACAGCCUCCCUCCGAUAUUGACGAGGUUUUGACCUUUGCAAAUUCUCAUUCCUCCAUCCAUGAUGGUAUUGCUAGCUUAGAUCAUAAUUUAAUUGCAUCUAAUGCCAAAGGAAAACUUGGUCCAAGAAGUUUUAAAGUGCUGGUAUUAUUAAAGCAUGACAUAUGUGAGGACGGGUGAGCCAUAUCAAGUAUCUAACACUCCUGCUUGCAAUUUAUGUACGGCAUCAACAGGAGAAAAAAUAUUUAAUCAAAUAACUGAUUUUGUAGCUUAAAAAUGGAAAAUACAGUGAGUGUAUUGAUGGAAAGAUACGAAUUAGGUAGAUUACUAGGACAAGGCACAUUUGCUAAGGUUUACUAUGGUAGGAAUAUUAGUUCUGGACAGAGUGUAGCCAUUAAAAUGAUAGAUAAGGAGAAAAUAUUGCGGGUUGGGCUUAUUGAUCAGAUCAAGCGAGAAAUAUCUGUUAUGAGACUUGUUAAGCACCCUAAUGUUGUUCAACUUUAUGAGGUCAUGGCCACUAAGACCAGGAUCUAUUAUGUAAUGGAAUAUGCCAAAGGGGGCGAACUGUUUUACAAGGUUGCUAAAGGAAAGCUGAAGGAAGAUGUUGCACGAAGAUACUUUCAACAGCUGGUUAAUGCAGUUGAUUUCUGCCAUAGCAGGGGGGUUUAUCAUCGGGAUUUGAAACCAGAAAAUUUACUUCUAGAUGAGAAUGAAAAUCUGAAAAUAUCUGACUUUGGUUUAAGUGCCCUAGCUGAAUCAAAACGCCAAGAUGGGCUUCUUCACACCACUUGUGGUACUCCUGCAUAUGUUGCUCCUGAGGUCAUUAAUAGGAAAGGAUAUGAUGGGGCCAAAGCUGAUGUUUGGUCAUGUGGGGUGAUUUUAUUUGUUCUAUUGUCUGGUUAUCUUCCAUUUCAUGACUCAAAUUUGAUGGAGAUGUAUCGGAAGAUUGGCAAAGCAGAGUUCAAGUGCCCCAAUUGGUUUCCACCAGAAGUGCGCCGUCUGCUUUUGCGCAUAUUGGAUCCAAAUCCGAAUACUAGAAUCUCAAUUGCAAAAAUCAAGGAUCAUCCUUGGUUUAAGGGGGGAUUGAAUUCAAAAUUAGUCAAGCCCAAUAUAGAAAACAAAGAAGUUGCUUCUUCAAGUACAGAUGCAGGGACCAGAUCCCUUGAGAAUAGCAGUAGAGCCACUGAUGGCACACAAGACCUGUUGGCAGUUACCAACCUAAAUGCGUUUGAUAUCAUCUCUUUUUCUGCUGGAUUUGAUCUAUCCAGACUGUUUGAAGAAAGUUCACGAAAGAAAGAAGCCAGAUUCACCUCUUGGCAACCAGCAGCUGUCAUAAUCUCAAAGCUGGAAGAAGUUGCCAAGCGUCUGAAGCUAAAGACAACAAAAAGGGAUCGAGGAUUGUUUAAACUUGAAGGAACAAAAGAAGGUAGAAAGGGAAUAUUGUCCAUUGAUGCGGAGAUCUUUGAGGUCACUCCUGAGUUUCAUUUGGUGGAGAUGAAGAAAUCAAGUGGAGAUACACUGGAAUAUCUGAAGAUAUUAGAUGACGGUCUACGACCUGGUCUGCAGGAUAUUGUCUGGGUUUGGCAAGGUGAACAAGAACGCAAGGAGUCAGAACAGCAGGAGCAGCAAAUUCAACAUCGACAGCUGGAAACCCAAGUUUCGGAGGACCAGCAACAGCAGCAGCAGCCGCCGCAGCUGCUGAUACUGCAGGAUAAGUUACCUUGAGUCUGUCUUUGUAUACCAUAUUGUCAUGUAUUUUUACGGGUUCAAGGUGUCCCUUUUCCCCGACUCCAAAUCCCUUACUUUCGGUUGUAUGUAGCAUAUUAAUGCAUGUGUAAAUAUAGCCUAUGCAUUUGUAGACCAACGUCUCAAUCUUGAAGUAUUUUUAUGGGUACCUUCAACCAAUUGCUGCCACUGCAUACCUCUGUUUAUGUUAAAGAAUCCCAGUUUUUAAUUUAUUUAUGGUGACUUUCAGGCCUUUUAUUCAUAUUAAGACAUUUUCCUUCAUUGAACCAAUGGCAGGCCAAAUUUUUUUUUUUUUUUUUAAAAAAAAAAGGACCUGACGGGCAGUAUUUGCUGUUUCAUGCACUGGGGCUAUAGUAUUAAUGGAUUCCGGGUUGAUAAGGAAUGAUCUGAUAUGCUUUAAUCAGUGUGCCUCGAGUAUCAGCCUUUCGUAGAAGAGUCUAAUCGGAUGUCCCACAAAUAGCUUUUUUUACAACUGAACAUAGACAUAGCAACUCAAUUGGGCAAGAGUUAGUUUCCUUUUGUCCUUGCCGACGAAGUAAGAACAAUCCAGAAAUAACUCCUGUUUAGAGACGAAAUACUUCUCUGUAAGCAACCUGUAUGGUCUGGCCGAUUCAAUAGUUUGUCCUAGCUCUGAGGGAGAUUCGGUUCUCAAAUCUCAAUUUGGCUAGAAUUAUCCGGUUGAGGACAUUAUAGCCAAUUUCUGCAGGUUUAUGACACAUGCAAGUAAAUGAAUAUAAAUUCUGAUAUUAUCAGACGUGGUCACGUCUUUCCAUGAACUUCUAGUAGAAUACUGAUUUCCCUUUCGAGCACUAGUAUGAAGCACAAGUAUGUUACCACAUAACAUCUCAUUUUGAUAACAACUGCUUAUGCUCUGGUUUUCAUGUCGUGUGGAAGAUCAUGCUUGGGGCACUCGAGAACAAGCUGGGCAGCCAAAAUGUCCUUUGGCUUGACAUUUGGUGCAUGAGAUGGAUAAUUCUUUGGACUUGACCCUGAAGGACUGGUAAGCACCAUCUACUGGAUUGAGACUGAACGGACCUCCUCGAGUGAUCGAACCAGAUCCCUUGCAUCUUGAGCAUGCUAUCAACCUCAAAUCACCACAUCUCUUGCACAUGCCCAAUGAACUGCUUGUCCAAGAAAAUGCACAAAGAAAUCUUACCGUGUCGUGUCAUUCAUCAAAUAGCUAGUCACUUCAAUUUCAGCUAGAAUAACACUUCCAUUUCUCUAAAUUGAAGCAGUAACUAGCUAAAGCUUUUCCUGAUGUGGUAAUUGGCAGAUUAUGAACGCUAUGUUUCACAGUGAUUGAACAAAAAGCACACGUAAACAUUGGCAAAAACAAACAGCCAUAAAAAAAUUUACCAUGCAGAAUCAGGAUUAGUACUAACGACCUCAUCCUUGUCAACCUACUCAUCUAGUAGGUUUUACAGCAGAGAUAGAGAGAGCAGAAUGUGACAUAUGAUAUAAGGCGAAAGAGGGGAAAAAGAAAAUAAUAUUACCUACGCUGGGAAGCUGCAAUUAAAGAGUCAAUCUUGGGAGCUGAAAUUGUGGCAAAAAGUAGCAAAGCACCGACACCAUACCCUGCUAUUUCAUUCGCGGUGACGUGCUCAAACAUUCUUUUUCGGUGAUCCUUUUUUAUGUCCACGAACAGGUUCUGUCUGAUGACUGCAAUACUGAGAUAGGAACUUAAUUUCCGGCGAAGGAGAAGUCCGGGAAUUCUAGCUGCUGGUGCGAGGAGGCCGGGGAUGGCUAGUGUGGCUUUUCUCUCUGCUCGUCUCCUGUAAGGCGCAAGCCCAUACUAUACUACUGUAUCAAAUAGUGUGCCAUGCUGCGUAGCGUGUAGUCUGCGAUCUACACUAAAGAGAACGAUGGCCACAAGUCCAUCAUCCCUUAUCCACAACGCAAAAAAAAUAAAAGUUGACUUCUUGAGCGAGGGAAGGUGAAACGGGGAUGGUGGGGUUUAGUUAUUUCUUGAAAUCCCGGGGGUGCGAAUGAAAUUAUAGCAAAACCUCAGGGCUCUAAAUUUGGUUAAUCCUUCAUCAUUAUCAGGUUAUCAAUAUCGAUUUGGAUGGAAAUUCCCUGGUAAAUGAAUUAGUAAAGGUCAUUGAACCAGGCAAAAUCCUAUGCGCGGCAGUUUUCGUGUGAAUGACCGUUUUAAAUAGUGAUAAAUUGUCAACUGUCGAGAACAACACUUGUCAAGGAAUUAAAUUGUCAGGAAUGACACUCAUCUAGCGAUCAGCUGUUGUAUAAAGCAGGAAUGCCAUUUUGCACUCACAUUCAUUCAGGUACCAAAUCCCCUGUAAGGCAGAAACAGAUCUCUAUGAAACCCCAAUUUCCCUGGGUAAGCCAUUUUGCACUCAUAUUAAUUGAAAGUACCAUGGCAAAGCCCCAGUAACAGAUCUCUACGAAAUCCAAUUUCCCUGGGUAAGAUUCAGAUGGAUGAAAAUAAGAAGUCGCAAAAUAAGUGUGUAAGAAACUCAAUUUAUUUCUGGAUCGCAUAUAUUAUUUGCAUCAUCCAGCAGUAAUUACAUUAUUCUAAGACAUAUUUCUGUAUUUAAACAAACAUGGGGGAAUUGGUCAAGUCUAUUAUUUCAGGACAUCCAACAGAGAGUCUUCUCUUCUUAUUCCCUGUACUCACAUUGUAGCAAGGUGAGGGAGUAGACAAAUCUAUUACCUCAACUUCAGAUGAGGUGCAAGGGAGUUCAAAUUUAUUCAGAGUUACAUUUUGUACAGAUUGUUGCCUGGGCAGUUGAGGGUCUGCGACGUUAAACUCAUCAUACAAUCUGAAUGUUCCUGUAUCUUCAGCAAUUCUUGUUGCGUUACUGCAGCUGAAAACAGAGCCACGUGAAAUUCUGCCCAGAAAGUCGUCGAGCUGGAAUGACUGCUUCUGGGCCUCUUCUUUGCUAAUUUGCAAGUUCUUUGGCAGUUCGAAGACGCUGCUUUCUGUUGACGUUUGUUGUUGGUGAGUAAUUGCUUCAGUCCAGUUAUACAGACCGAGAUUUUCAGUUUCUUUGAAGCCAUCUUGAACAAGUUCAAUAUUGCUCAGCGGUUGUGCAUCUGCUGACCCAUCCUCUGCAGAUUCCUCAGAUCCACCACUGUGCUCACAGUCGUCACCAGCAGGAUCCCAGUCAUCAUUUUCUCCCGCACAUAAAUUGCCCCCUGUAUAGCACGGAAGCUCAUCCAUAGAACCAAACUGUACCCUCAUUUGUUCCGGCAGGCUAGGGCAACCAGAUGUGAGCGUCAUGUAUUUUGUGGAAAAGUAGUUUACUCUGAGAUUUAAGCUGUAUACAGGAGCAACACUUUAGCCAUCAGUAAAUAACCAAAAUUCAGUGAGUAUUUCAAGCUUAGCACGUCUAGGAAUCCUGUAAUACCUCUGCCAAGAAGGAAGGGUGAGCAUAGUGUAGGCAAGUUUUAUCUUAUUUGCAAGCCCAGAAAGAGAUUUGAAGGUAGCAGCUGCUUUUCUUACCGCCAGUGAUCCUAGUGGAUGCUGCCAGGCCCACUCAAACUGCAAUUCGAUUCAUUAGACAGCAAUUAGUAUGCUGCUUCAUUUCAUAAUUAAGGCAAAAAGAACUGGCUCUCAUGUUAACAUCAUUCUAUGCCCAUCAAUGAUCAAAAAAAGUUUGUACUUGCUGUGGGUUACAAAGCUAUUAGAAUUCAGAAGUGUAAGUCAACAGAGAACUAUGGCACGAAGAGGGCAAAUCAGAGAGGAGAACAAAAGAUGGAGCUAAAAAGAACAAAUCUAUUGCAUAGAAUCCACAAUCUGCAAAAAUGAUUUUGCCUACGCUAACCAAGCGGUCACAGAAAAAAACUCAUAAACACUAAGGUCCCGUUUGGAUUGUAUUUUCCGUCAUUUUUCAUGGAAAAAUUACUGUAGCGAUUUGAUGUAUGUGAGGAAAAAGGUAAUAGGGAAAUGUGUUCACGGAAAAUGACGAAAUUUUUCUACGGAAAACAGCAAUCCAAGCAAGGCCUAAUCUUACGACCACUCACCAGUAUAGCACUCAAUUUAGCAGCUUAAAAUUUUUUAAAAAAAUGAACUUAAAAACAAGCAGUCCAAGGCGUGUCAACGACAUUUACAAAAGGUAACAUCUAACUCACUGCUAGUGCAACAGAAUUGAAUCGUGUAACAUGUACCUGGAGAGCGGCAACGUUGGUGGGGAAGCCAUAAAUGCAAAGGACCAUCUCCCAAGGUCGCCUCUUCUUGGUCCUCCAAGCACCGCUCCCUAUCUCCCCGUUGUGUUGCCUUAUUCUGCGACGAGGAUUCACUGUAAACCUACAGCACCCACCCAACACUCCACGACAUUAAAUAUAUGCUAAAUUGUAUACAAAGAAAAUUGAGAAACUUGGCAACCGAUCACUAAUCAAUUCCCCUGAUUCCAAAACACUCCCAAGAUAAAGCUAGGGAACCAACUCAAGUUUCAAAAAUGGAUCCAGAAAUGACGGGGAUCCAAACCUGCUACAUACCCGAUAUAAGAGGAACCUUUGAAUCUUGGGGAAAGCGAAGUUAGUAGAUAUACCGCGUAAAACUUUCUCCCUCCUUUUCCUGCUCUUUCUUCUUCUCCUUCUGCUUCACAUAAAGUCGGUGGCGUUUGAUCAUUUUCUCCUUGUUCGGGAUUUAGGGUUUCCGGUGUUUCUGUUCGCCCUUUCCUUCUCCCCAUCUCUCUCUCUCUCUCUCUCUCUCCUCUCUGUGUUAUGGAUUUGCUAGCUAUCCUUUGGAUCAGGCGUAAUUCGACCGUUGUGAUUGGAUCAAUAUUUUGAAUUCUGCGUCCCUUUUUCGAAUAAAGAUCUGACUGGCUCCAAUAGCGGGCUAACGAACAUGAGAACGUUUUUUUCUGUUUGGGCCUUACGAUUCCCAGUUUAAAAAGCCCAUAGUUCGUGUACCCUGUAUAUUUGGGUUAGAACCGGUUUGCUUUAUUUAUUAUUAAUUUCUUUUAAAUACCCUCAAGGUCAACAUACUAGUGCAAUGGUUCUAAACAUUUUUUUUUUUUUUGUCGCAACGAUAACAUUUGUAUAAUCUAUUCUAACCUAAUCUAAGAGAAGGGGAAGCCAAUGGAAUUUUUUAAUUGAAGGAAGCCACAGUUAAGUUUUUUUUGGUCGCAACCAUAACAUUUGUAUAACCUAUUCUAACCUAGUUUAAGGGAAGGAGAAGCCAAUGGGAUUUUUUAAUUGAAGGAAGCCACAGUUAAGUGGCACAGUGGAAAGCAAGGGUUAAACCCUUGACCUCCCACUCCCACCAAGACUUAACAAGAGCCCAAGAGGCUGUUGGCUGCAAUGGUUCUAAAGAAUUAACUCCUGAAUAUGUCUGUCCCGGAGAAAAAAAAUUUUUUAUUUGAAACUGCAGGGUAUCCGUAUGGAUGUCCAAUUUCAAUGUCAAAAUUGAAUUGAAAAACUUGCACUGCUCGGAUUCUGGAACUGCUUCUAUUGCCCAAUGCAUCACACACACUGAAGACUGGAACUCCAUUGUACGGCAGCGUCUUCGCAUGAAAUCUACAAGUCAAUCUGAGUUGCUUUUCUUGAAACACGCCAUCAUUUAUGGAUCAUAUCCGGUUUAAAGUUAAGGAUUCAAAUAAUUUGGCAAUCCAUUUCCAGGCAUAAGAUCAAACAAAAACACACACAUGCAAAUUUAAUUCCCAGUAUGUUGGAAAAGGAAUUCAUCUAUCUUAGUCUCAGCCUGUCAACAAGAUCCAUAAAGAUUACAAUUUCCUAAAACACGUUUUUGACCUUGCGAUGUUACAACAUAGAUGUACUUCAGAUAUACCAUUUGCUUGUAGAUGCCCAUUCCCAUCAAAGAAAGCAAACCCCUACAAACAUUACCCAGCGCGAUGUCUUUAGUAGAAAAGGGGGUUAAACAGACAUGCUGUAAUGUAAUCUACACAUCUGCUUGUGGACACAGUGACUAAUCUUAAAUAUGUUGACUACAACACUCGUAAUCAAUCACAAUUUAUCAAGAUGUUCAUCCGAAUGCGCCUGGUUUAACUGGAUCUUUGCAGCUCUUAGAGCCCUAAGAGGUCAACAAGAAAACAAUUGUAAAUGAUGUUUCCCAGAAGACAACCUUUACAAGCAAUGAUCCUAACAGAACAACUUUUACAAGUAAUUAUCCUAAUUUUCCUGUUGACAAGCUUCUUGCAUGAAUAAACAUUCUCAGAUACAAGACCAGAGAACAUUCAUAUCCAGUGAAAAGCAACAAAGUUUGACAAAUUUCCAAGAGAUAAUGGAUCUCUACAUCUAUAAAGUUCGAAAAUCCAUAUACUCAAGAAAAGUCUUCUGAAGUUAUCCAGAGAUAGGAAAUCAACUAAGAUCUCUCAAUGUAAUAACAACUAGACACAUGCAAACCAUAUUUUGACAUGUAAAAGCUUCGUCUACAGGAAGAUUUACAAUAGGACAACUUACUAGCUCUUUUAUCAGCUUCAUACAGGAAAGAAGCAUCAAUAAGUGGAGUUUCCUUCUACCUAGUACACAACUGAACAAGUUCAGAAAAAGGAGAAAACGUUUAGAGGAACAAUUACUACCAAAGCAGCCACAAGAUUGAGUUCUAAAGACGUUUAGCAUUAUUGACUAAUGGGUUUGAUUUCUGGUUAUCCAAAGCGAAUGAUCAAUCACUGAGGCUUAACUAAACUGAAGCCUCCAUCCAAACAUGUUCCUUCCAAAGUCAACCAACUUCGAUAUCAAGGAAGAAACAGAACAUUGCUCAGGCUCAACUAGACAGUAAGUUCAAUAUAUCCAUAAAGAGACACCAAGAAAGAAAUUCCCAACACAAUGUAUAUUAUUACGAAAAAUAACCUACAUUCCACGCAGGUAUUCUCGUGGUAUUUUCAUAACAGUAAAGCUUUACAAUUAAGAUGAUACAGACUCCUAAACUCGUAGCCCUAAUUGAAAAGCAAAAUUACAAAUGGAAAGCGAACACAAUUUGAGUUCAGUCCAUAGCAUACAAUACAACAAGUGGAGUAACAAAUCACAAAACCUAAUCCCACCCAAUGAUCAACCUUUA
rnacentral:lncRNA from 1 species